CGAACUGUGCGAACGUUAUUCGGAAUCGCUGGGCUUAAAGGGUGCGUAGGCGGUUUUCUAAGUCAGGUGUGAAAUCUUCCGGCUCAACCGGAAAACUGCGCCUGAUACUGGAGGACUGGAGUGAGGCAGGGGUGUGUGGAACUUCCGGUGGAGCGGUGAAAUGUGUAGAUAUCGGAAGGAACGCCAGCAGCGAAAGCGGCACACUGGGCCUUUUCUGACGCUGAGGCACGAAAGCCAGGGGAGCGAACGGGAUUAGAUACCCCGGUAGUCCUGGCCGUAAACACUGAGCACUAGAGGAGGGGGGUUCGCCCUUCUUUCUCGUAGCGAAAGCGUUAAGUGCUCCGCCUGGGGAGGUAUGGUCGCAAGGCUG
rnacentral:rRNA from 1 species